AUGUAUGUGUCUGUAGAGUUGUGUCCAGUAAUCCCUUUUUAUCCCCUUGAGCUCUGCAGGUAUAGGUGUAUUCUCUAUUUAAUGUGUCUUCUCUCUUUUUUACUUUGUCAGUCUUGCUAGAAGUUUGUUCAUUGUAUUGUUUCAAAGAAUCAACUCCUUGUUUCAUUGAUUUUUGCUUAUUUUUCUGAUUUAAAUUUUAUGGAGUUCUGCUUUUAUCUUUAUUACUGUCUUCUUUCUGCUUGCAGUCAGUUUAUUUUGUUCUUCUUUUCCUAGGUUCUUGAGGAGGAGCUUAGGUUAUUGAUUUCAG
rnacentral:lncRNA from 10 species